AAUAUAGCGGCCCUCACUGCGGAGUCCGGCAGCCAGUCGCAGCCAUGCAGGUCGCCGCGCUGCUCAUCUGUCUGCUGCUGACCGCGAAUACGUCACAGGUUCAGGCGCAGCCCGAGCGCUGGGAGUUAAACUGGAGGGAAAAGGAUCCAGAGGACACUAUUUCCAUUUCAUCAGGGAAAGGUGUCUCAAAUGCUGAGAUUUAUGUAUGACCGGAAGUGCUGCAACUGUUACAUCUUAGGAACAGGCCCAUAAAAAACACUUCAAUACUAUGCCAGCAUGGGUGCUAGGAAGUGAACAAGAAAAAUCAUCAGUGGUAAUUCUGCUGCCUGAAGGCUCAGCAGAUAAUGAACACAUUUUCUGAUGUUCAGAUGGACAAUGAAAUUUAUCCUUUCAAACAUUGUGUCAGUAGAAUACAAAUAUCAAGAACAACAGAAAUUUACAGUACCUUAAACAAAUAAUAAGUUGCCAUUGAGCAGCUAUAUGUAAUAGGAAUAAUGCACAGAAUAACAGAAAUCUAAUUCAAACUCCAUAUAAUACAUCAUAGAAUUCUGUUGUCAAACCUCAUCACAGCUCUUCCAAUCCACUUGAUUGAGCUUUUGUUUCUGAUUGGUUGGAAAGAAUGAACUGACAACACUGAGAAAUUACGUAUCUAGUGUGACUGUAACUAUUUUUGCAUGCGGUCAUCACUGUUUUCCUUCCUAGUUAUUUAUGAAUUUCAUGUACAAGGCAUAGAUUACAAGUGUGAAUAACUUUUACACACAUAAAAGUGAAUGAGUGAAAGAUGCAGUCAAAAUAUUUUGUACGUAUGUAGAGUUGACUUCAAUUCAUUUUUAGCUGUGUUUCUCUGUCACUCUAAUAACCCAGCAUUUUCUUCGUUAUUCAUCCAGUGUCAGCAGUUGCUCCAUUUCUGCUGACCUUGUUAUCAGUUACAUGUGCAUAUUUCUAAUAUACCUUUCAUGUAAGAUAAGCAAUUUUGAAUGAAUGAUCAUGUGAUACUGGGCAAUAACCUAAGGAAGUGAACUAAGAGUGGCCCUCAUGUACCUUAUCGAAGUUCUUAUAGCACUUGUCCUAAAUUAGAAAUCUUCAUUGGUAAUACCAGUUAAUUCUCUUCUUUAUGCUGGAUAAUAAUUUUUAUAAACAGAUUCUUUUUCAUUCUCAUUAUUUAUUAAACAAGUAAGAGUUUGUACUAUCAAUGUCUGUAAAUGUGAAAAAAACAGAUAUUCUUACCAGUGGUUGCUGCAGUACACCAUCAUGGAUUGGAAAAAGCUUAUAAACGUUGUUUUACCAUACCACUCAGUUUGUAAAUUGUAAUGCAUCUGGUUGUACCUUCUAUUUUUAUUUCUCUAAAAAGUUUUCUACAUAUUAAGUAAAGUUUCUCACUUUGCCAUCACAACUUGCAUCACCUAAUUAGUGUUGUUAUUAAUGAGGACUUCUGACUUUCUGUUUUAAUAAUUUAUUACAGGUACCUCUAUAAUUUUAACUCCAUUCUCUUUGAGGAAAAAUAUGUUUGCACAUCCUUGAUCCUGCCUUAUCUGAUACAUUUACCAAAGAAUGCUUUGCUGUAAAACUGAGCAAGUAUGACUUUUGUGUGAGUGCAGGUUGUGAAAUAAGGCAAAUUUCCUGAUAUUUACAAGUAGUAUUCAUCACUUAUAGUCUCCAAAUUAUGACAUUGAUGUUGUUCUGUUCUGAUGGAAGCAUAUACUUUUUCUCUGUGACACUUAAAAGAAGCUUCUAAGAGAACUUCAAUGACAGCAUGUAUGGGACUUGAUCAAAUAUUAUCAAAAUAACAGCACUGCAAACCACUGUAUCACCACCAGGAGAAGAGGUUCCAUCAACGUCUGCCCUGUUAUACUGACUGUGAGCAAACACAAAACUCACAUAUGGUUCUUGUGUUUACCUGAGUAAAUAAAGCCCACCAGUCUGUGUUCUGCUGUUGUAACAAUCAGACAACUUGCUUGUAAAUCUAUUGAGACAUUCACAUUGUGCAUUGAGCAUUGUUUAUGAUGAAUGUUGUGAAACUGCUAGAGAUGUGGUGCAGUUGUACACUGAAGAGUCUCCAGAUUGUGCCAAGCAGUCAGACUCUGUCUGUAAAUGUUAUAAAUAAAGUUCCAGAAACUUGAAGUGUGGAGAAUAAAAUACGCCAAUGGAAAAGAAGAGCAACUGAUGAAAGAUAUUAAACUAACAUUUUAAAGGAUUAACACACUAUGUAAAUGUCACUAACUUGUAGUUCGGAAGUCUGAGAGGUAUCAAUCAAAUGAGAGUUCUGCAAACACUUCAUUCCGUCAUAUUUAAUCUUCUUCAAAUUUCACCACAUCUACAGCUUCAUGGCAGUCAGUAUCUAAAUUUGAUUACAGACCUCUGAAUGUCAUAUACAAAAAGUGCAAAGUGAGGUGGCAUAUCUAAGCAAAACUUUGUUUAAUGAAGAAGCAUCAUUUACCAACCAUACACAAGUCUGCCUUCACAAUAUGCACUAAUCAUCUGACUCAAUGAAUGCUCUGGUCUUUCAAUAUUUGGUGCAUGUUUUCCAAAACCCACAACACUAGUCUCUGUGUUGUUGAUGGAAUUCUAAAUACAUUCAAGUAAUGUGUGUUCCUAAGAUAUACUGCUGCUGCAUUUAUUGGGAGACACCCCACUGAACAUAAGGCAGUCAGUGUGGUACCAACAUGAUGGAUAUCCCUCUCAUUCCACACAUAUGUUGACAGGCCCUCUUUAAGAGGACAUUUGGAGACCAUUGGAGCACUUGUUCAGGAAAUGCAAAAUGGCCUAUGGACUCACCUAACUUAACACUUCUACACCUUUAUCUGUGCUGAGAUUUAAGACAAGAAGUCUAUUACGAAACGCUGAUGACUCCCAAAGAAAUGAAAUGCCUUUCAACGUAUUGAGUCUAGAUGAAAUUCGAUGUGCAGUGCUGUUUCGCCAGAAUCACUUUAUAGUGUGCAGCAAUGCUCAAGGUCAAAAUUUUGAGCACAUGGUAUGAUAGCCAUGAUAAUACACAUAAAAACCAUACACCGAGUUCUGUCCUUGCUUACAUUUGGUGUAACAGGGCAGAAACUCAUGGAACCUCUUCCCCUGAUGGUGAGAAAGGUCCAUGGUGCUGUUACCUUGAUACUGCUUGAUCAUGUCCAUGGAACCUCUUCCCCUGAUGGUGAGACAGGCCCAUGGUGCUGUUACCUUAAUGGCCAGCCACUGUGGCUGAGUGGUUCUAGGCACUUCAGUCUGGAACUGUGCAACUGGUAGGGUCACAGGUUCGAAUCCUGCCUUGGGCAUGGAUGUGUGUGAUGUCCUUAGGUUACUUAGGUUAAAGUAGUUCAAAGUUCUAGAUGAUUGAUGACCUCAGAUGUUAAGUCCCAUAGUAUACAAAGUCAUUUGUUAUCUUGAUACUGUUUGAUCAUGUCCCAUGCAUGUUAUGUCAAUAAAAAUUGCUUGUGAAUAUUGGGAAAUACACUGUAUUGUCUGCUAUAACUUGAAAAAAAAAGUAGCAUCUCAAUAUAUUUAUUCAUUCUGGACAUAUUUGUGGUGGCCUGCCUUAGCUGCCUCAAUCUAUCUAGAGUAAGUUCUGUUGUAGAUGGUGUAUAAUUGCCUUAAUCCAAUCCAUAGAUAAUGAAUCUCAGUUGUGUGGAUGAAUCAUAUAUGUUACUGUUGUGCUGAUAAUGUAGUUGUGUGUUACACAGGAAUAACAAGAAACAUGUAAAUCCGAUACAUGUAUGUUAUUUUUAUGAUAAACAAGAUUCACUAACAUAUUUAUUAGUGGUCCUCUAUACCACUCAUAUAUAGUUUCAUUCUACAACACAAAUCUCACAGCUUGUUUGUCUGUUUUUAACUUUCUACCAAUUUUUCUUGGUAGAAAUACAUGUAUAAAGAACACAAAAUAUAUAUACCUUUGUUAUUUUUAUGUUAAAUAGCAGCAACAUAAGAUUACUUUUUGGAAUUUGAAAGACAAUAUAUACCUCUAAGAAAAUCCUGUAUUUUUGUCACUAAUAAUACUUUUUGUUUCCAGCUACUUAUGUAUUUUAUGAAUAAUAAACAAAUAAAUAAGUA